AUUGAACGCUGGCGGCAGGCCUAACACAUGCAAGUCGAGCGGAGCGGCGGAGGGGUGAGGAAUGCAUAGGAAUCUGGCUGGUAGCGGGGGAGAACGUCCGGAAACGGGCGCUAAUACCGAAUACUAUCAGAAGAGCCUAGGUCGGAUUAGCUAGUUGGUGGGGGAAAGGCCUAGCAAGGCGACGAUCCCUAGCUGGUCUGAGAGGAUGACCAGCCACCCUGGCACUGAGACACGGUCCAGACUCCUACGGGAGGCAGCAGUGGGGAAUAUUGCACAAUUGGCGCAAGCCUGAUGCAGCCAUGCCGCGUGUAUGAAGAAGGCCUUCGGGUUGUAAAGUACUUUCAGCGGGGAGGCGUUACCCGCAGAAGAAGCACCGGCUAACUCCGUGCCAGCAGCCGCGGUAAUUC
rnacentral:rRNA from 1 species